CAGAGACCGGGCACGAGGUGGGAGGGUAGAGGCACGAAGCACGCACCAAAAAUAAGAGAAGGGGGAAGGCGAGGCCGACGCCCGAAAAUUACUUCGGGGGCCGGGGCGGAAGCGCGAAUCCCCCCGAAUCCCUCCCCUCCCUCCCCGAUCCCGUCGCCUGCCAGAUCUCGCCCCUCCCCCGGCGGGCCCGAUCGCCAUCGGCGGCGGCGGCUGGACCGGCCGGCCGCGGGCGGUUCCGGGCAGGGAGAUCUCGCCGAGAUUCGGUUUGGGGCGGGAGGAGCCGGGUGCCCAUGGCGUCGGCGUCGGCCUCCACCGACGUCGCGUCCUCGCGCGAGGCGAGUCGCCAGGCCGGGAAGAAAGCGCUGGAGGAGUUCCGUAAGAAGAAGAAGAAGGCCGCGAAGAAGGCCACCGCCGCUGUAGUAGACCAGGCAGCGCCUGUGGUUCCCAGCGUAGUGGAGAACCCCCUGCCAAAUUCCAAUAAUGGUAACACCGGAGAGGGUUUGGUGUCUGCUUUGGACUCGAGCACACCAAGCACAUCAUCUGCGCCAUCUGCUUCCUAUGAGAAUGGCCCAACCACUUCUUCCAGAGUCACCGGAUUUCUGUCGAAUGGUCCUGUAGUUGCAGAUGCAUCAGCUAAUGUUACUACUGUUGCCCCCCUGCAAGAUUCUGUUGAUGACGGAGGGAGCAAGUUUUAUGGAAACUUGAGCUUUUCCGAUCUAGUUAAUGGGCAUCACGAUGAUUGGAGAGGCGAUACUGCCCGUAAAAGGGUAGAGCUCAGUCCUGGCAAGGAUGCCCCUUUAACAUCUAAAUUAAGUGCAUUUGGAAACACUGACAGUGGUUCCCAGUCUACUGAGGUCUUGUCAAAAUGGGGAGGAAAUUCUUUGUUGAGUCAAGUACAUGGUAUCGAGCAAUCCAGUUCAUUUUCAUCCGGCAACCUUCUUGGGAAGUCUGAAAGCACUUUCUCUCAGGAUUACUCCCCAGAAAAUGAUAUCUUCGGCCGCUCACGAGCUACCUCCAAAGACUCUUCCCAAGCAGGGCACUCUGCAUAUACCAGCAACCGGGACUAUGACAGUAUCUUUAGUAGUUCUAAGGUCGCUGAUGGUUUAGAUCAUGAUGCAAAUAUUGGAAUGCUUCGGAAUGCAUUAAAUUCCACAUCUGCUAAUUUUGAUAAACAGGAUCCUUUUCUGUCAACUGCUUAUCCAACUGCAUACAAUCGAUCUCGGCCAUCUUUUCUUGAUUCUAUUGGGGUACAAAGAGCUCUUCCAGCAGAAGCCCCGUACGUUGAACCUUCGAAAGCAAGCAAUAAGCUAUUCAGCAGUUCAAAUUCCGAGAGUUCUUCUGUUCAGCAGCCAAGCCAACAAUCCACACAAAACAAUGUCGUGGAUAAUUCUGUUAUAGCAGGGAGACAAGAGUAUAAUAGUGAAAAGGGGCCAUAUGGCAAUUCUAUACUUCCUGAUUCCUUGCCUUCCAAAGAUGAAAAAAGUCUGCAGUAUGGUAAUCAAAUGUUCCAAGAUUUCACAAGUCGUGAGAAAGAUGACGGUUUUGCAUCACUAGAGCAGCUCAUUGAAGAUUUGACAACAGAGAAGUUUUCGUUACAAAGGACUUUAGAGAAAUCUCAAGAACUAGCCCAAAAUUUGGCAACGGAUAACUCAGCAUUGACAGAUAAAUUCAACCAACAGGCACACGUUAUCAGCCAGUUGACCUCUGACAUGGAGAGGUUGCAGGAUGAAAUUCAAGCUCAACUGCUGGCACUUGAGACCAUCAGAUCGGAAUAUGCCAAUGCCCAACUAGAAUGCAAUGCUGCAGAUGAGAGGGGCAAAGUACUCGCAGCAGAAGUCAUUCUAUUGGAAGAUAAGGCUCUUAAACUGAGGUCAAAUGAGUUGAAACUUGAAAAGGAAGUGGAGGGUUUAAAUUCAGAGAUUUCUUCCUACAAACGCAAAGUUUCUAGUCUAGAGAAGGAACGUCAACAUCUUCAAUCUACUGUUGAGGCUCUUCAAGAAGAAAAGAAGCUCCUACACUCUAAAUUGAGAAACAUUCCUGUGAGUGAGAAGGUAAAUGUCAUAGAAAAACCAUCAGUCGACAAAAGAGAUGCAUCAACUGCGACGGAGGAUUUAGAUACAGGGGAAAGCAGCUCUUCACAAACACUGACCAGUACCAGUGACCCAUUACAAGAUGUUGGAACAUCUGUUUCACAGUUUAAUAAUAUGUCUGAUUUUCCUUCCUUCGGAGAGGCAUCUUCUAGCAUUCCAGACGAUCAGCUCAGAAUGAUUGACAACAUCAACUCCUUGAUGUCGGAGUUAGCAGUGGAGAGAGAAGAGCUAAUGCGGGCACUGAGAAUCGAGUCAUCCAACUGCUCCAAGCUGAAGGAGCUGAACAGGGAUCUAACACAAAAGCUGGAGACUCAGACACAGAGACUUGAGCUAUUGACUUCUGAAAGGAUGGCCAAUGAGAAUGUCCUUGCAAGACAGGUCGACACACACUUCAAUGAUGCAACAAUGUAUGCUGAUGAAGGGGACGAGGUUGUCGAAAGGGUGCUUGGCUGGAUAAUGAAGCUCUUCCCUGGAGGGCCAAAGCGUCGCACCAGCAAACUCAACUAGCGAAAAUGAAGCUUUAGUAUACAGAAUGUCUCUUCAUUUACAUAAUUUUUUUUGCCCGGUUUUGGUCAUAGCAUCGUGAGAAGUUGUAUAUUGGAGCCAUUUGAUGUAACCAUUCUUUUUUCUUUCUACAGAAGAUGAAACGAAAAUGUUGGAGCUAUACAACGUUGUAUUGGACAGUAAACAGAAUAGCCUCCAAGAAUCAUGUCCUCCCAUCUUAUAUUUUGUCGCUAUGGGUUGGGGGUGGAUAUGUAAAAGCUGUUACUCAGCAAUUGUUGUACGGUUGUACCAAAGGCAUUUUUCUUUUCUUUCCAAACUCCAUAUGUUUACUUUUAUUUUCAAUGUUAACAGAAGCACAGAAGGAUCCUUGAGUAGUUCCGAAUUAUAGACGUUUUGGAUAUUU
rnacentral:rRNA from 1 species